AUUAUCCAUCUGCAAAAUAAAAGCAAUUGCAAUUUCUGCAUGACUGCAAGAAAAAUAGAUACUAUUCCUUAGUAUGCUAUUUUACAAGUUUCUUAAAGGUUAUUUGAAAUUUCAGAUGGUAACAAGCUUGGAAUUGUCUUUUUCUUCAGCUAUGGACUGUAUCAAAGUUUAUGGGCUAUAAUUGUAUUUUGGUUUCUGCCAGGCAUCAGGAUAGCUCAUUUGCAUGACUGGUACAAAAUUUACUUAUUCAGUGAAUCAUGCUCAGCUGCUGUACUGUUCAAUCUGUAAUAAUAACUGCAGGGUGACUGACUAACGAUAACUAAUCUUCUCUCAACUACAAAAGCAUGUAAAUUAGUAAAAUAAAUGUUUAGUUGUGUAUGUGUGUGUGUUUGCAUGUUGGAGUUGGGGUGGAUUAUGCUCUUCAAUUUCAAUGCAACGCUGCACACCCUUAAUCAAUCUGGAGAAAAAAAUGUGCAGAAAAAUGACAGUCAAUCCUAGCCACAAAUCAGUAGUCAUUAUAUCCAUUCUCUUAGCCAUGAAUAUGACAUAAAACUUUAUAAAUGAAUACAUUGUCUAUUUUUUAGUGGUGAGGUGUAUUAGUCUGUUCUCAUGCUACUAUAAAGAGCUGCCAGAGACUGGGUAAUUAAUUUU
rnacentral:lncRNA from 10 species